rnacentral:rRNA from 1 species
UACGUAGGGUGCAAGCGUUGUCCGGAAUUAUUGGGCGUAAAGAGCUCGUAGGCGGUCUGUCGCGUCUGCUGUGAAAACUCGGGGCUUAACCCCGGGCCUGCAGUGGGUACGGGCAGACUAGAGUACUUCAGGGGAGACUGGAAUUCCUGGUGUAGCGGUGAAAUGCGCAGAUAUCAGGAGGAACACCGGUGGCGAAGGCGGGUCUCUGGGCCGAUACUGACGCUGAGGAGCGAAAGCGUGGGGAGCGAACAGG